rnacentral:rRNA from 1 species
UACGUAGGGAGCAAGCGUUGUCCGGAAUCAUUGGGCUUAAAGCGCGCGUAGGUGGCCCCAUAAGUCCGCUGUGAAAGUCAAAGGCUCAACCUUUGAAAGCCGGUGGAUACUGUGGGACUAGAGUACGGAAGAGGCGAGUGGAAUUCCUGGUGUAGCGGUGAAAUGCGUAGAUAUCGAGAGGAACACCUGCGGCGAAGGCGGGUUGCUGGGCUGACACUGACGCUGAGGCGCGAAAGCCAGGGGAGCGAACGGG